rnacentral:sRNA from 1 species
AGGGAGAAGAACAAGAGGAAAAAGG